GAAUGCUGACAUAAGUAACGAUAAAGCGGGUGAAAAGCCCGCUCGCCGGAAGACCAAGGGUUCCUGUCCAACGUUAAUCGGGGCAGGGUGAGUCGACCCCUAAGGCGAGGCCGAAAGGCGUAGUCGAUGGGAAACAGGUUAAUAUUCCUGUACUUGGUGUUACUGCGAAGGGGGGACGGAGAAGGCUAUGUUAGCCGGGCGACGGUUG
rnacentral:rRNA from 1 species